rnacentral:rRNA from 1 species
AGAGUUUGAUCAUGGCUCAGGAUUAGCGCUAGCGACGUGCCUAAGGUAUGCAAGUCGAACGGUCGAGAUUGAGUGCUUGCACUUGAUCAAGAUAGUGGCAGACGGCUGAGUAACACGUAGGAAUAUCCCCCAAAGUCAAGCAUAGCUCACCGAAAGGUGGGGUAAUUCUUGAUGGUCUCUUCGGAGUAAAGACCAGAUUUAUUUCUGGGCGCUUUGGGAUUAGCCUGCGUCCUAUCAGAUUGUUGGUGAAGUAAAGGUUCACCAAGUCUAUGACGGGUAGCUGGCCUGAGAGGGUGGUCAGCCAGACUGGGACUGCGAUACGGCCCAGACUCCUACGGGAGGCAGCAACUAGGAAUUAUGCACAAUGGACGAAAGUCUGAUGCUGCGACGUCGCGUGAAGGAUGAAGGUCUUAGGAUUGUAAACUUCUUUUAUUGGGGAACAAGUUCUGAGUGUACCCAAUGAAUAAGUGCCUGCUAACCACGUGCCAGGAGCAUCGGUAAUACGUGGGACACAAGCGCUAUCCGGAUUUACUGGGCGUAAAGAGAUGCGUAGGCGUCUUCUUAAGUUAUUUGUCAAAUCUUUCGAUUCAAUCGAAAAACUGCAAGUAAUACUGGGUUGAUUGAGUUAGGUAGAGAAGAGGGGAAUUCCUGGUGGAGUGGUUAAAUACGUUGAUAUCAGGAGGAACACCAAUGGCGAAGGCACCUCUUUGGACCUAUACUGACGCUAAGGCUCGAAAGCGUGGGGAGCAAAACGGAUUAGAUACCCUAGUAGUCC